rnacentral:rRNA from 1 species
GACGAACGCUGGCGGCGUGCUUAACACAUGCAAGUCGAACGGAAAGGCCCUGCUUUUGUGGGGUGCUCGAGUGGCGAACGGGUGAGUAACACGUGAGUAACCUGCCCUUGACUUUGGGAUAACUUCAGGAAACUGGGGCUAAUACCGGAUAGGAGCUCCUGCUCCAUGGUGGGGGUUGGAGAGUUUCGGCGGUUGGGGAUGGACUCGCGGCUUAUCAGCUUGUUGGUGGGGUAGUGGCUUACAAAGGCUUUGACGGGUAGCCGGCCUGAGAGGGGGACCGGGCACAUUGGGACUGAGAUACGGCCCAGACGCCUACGGGAGGCAGCAGUGGGGAAUAUUGCACAAUGGGCGGAAGCCUGAUGCAGCAACGCCGCGUGCGGGAUGACGGCCUUCGGGUUGUAAACCGCUUUCGCCGGUGACGAAGCGGGAGUGACGGUAAUGGGUAAAGAAGCACCGGCUAACUACGUG